GCUUUUCAGCAUGAAUAUUUGUAACAUGCUGGUGCAGCCUGGGAACUGGGGAUCCAAGAACAAAGUCCUCAGGCACCUCAUGUGGUAAAUGAGGGAGACAUUCAAGCCAGCAAUAACAGCAGAAGCCAGGCACGCACAGAGCUCUAUGAAAAUGCCAGGGAAGGACAGUGAAGUCAGACCAGGAAAGCAACAGGGCAUGCUUUCAGAAAAUAAGGCUUGAAUUAUUUUUUGACACAAAUAGGUGUCAGCCAACUUCCAAGUGGAGAGAGGAGAGCGAUCCCAGCAUCCAAGAGGAUCCUAAAGGAUUGGAUGACGCUGGAUAUUGCAGGAGAGUCAGGUAGUCUGACGGUGGGAAGGCAAUACAGCACAGUUCUGGUCCUGGAAGGCCUCUGCCAGGUAAAGAAUUCUGGACUUGGGACAGUAAAAAGGCAAGGGACUGAAUAGUGGAAAGAGGCACAGGGAGUGCAAACCUGGGCACAAGGUAGGUUGGAGACUGUCACCAUGAUCUAGGCAAGGCUGAAUCAGUAGGAGUCAGCCCCCUUGAGGGGAAGGCAAGGGACACUGGUGACUACUUCCAGACAGAAUACACAGAGGGUUUUGAGACUGGAAUGGCUCCAGUGUUUUUGGCUUGGGCAACAGGUGGUGCCAUUUCCCCAGAGGUGGCACCUUCAGGGUCAAACAGGUCCCAGCUGAGGUCCCCAAAGAACAAACAAAAGGGAAAGCAUCUCAGCCCCCACGUGAAGAAGCAGAACUGCCGCACACAGCAUUCCACAGUUUAUACAAAACUUGUGUUGAAACAGAGGCAGCAAGGACACAGGUGCUGCGGGGGCGGAGUGCCGGGGACUGCCAUCUGGAGAGGAGCAAGCUGCUUAGAGAGGGCUUUGAAAACCUCACCAUGGAGGCGAGGCUGGACACAGAAAACCCAAAACAACCAAACAAGCAAGGAUGCCACACAUUGAAACUAGCAACAGCAGGAAUUUAGAAGAAAAGGCACAGUGUGAUGCUUGAGUCAAUAUCCCGGGAAGACAGUAGAAAGCUCUGAGACUUGGAAUCAGAAGAGUGACUAUCUCCAUAUUUGCCGAUUAAAACUAUAUGAUCUAGGUAAGUCAUUUAAAGCUUAGUAUCAAGGUGAGGGAGAUGGCUGCCUGGGGAAGAGCACUUGCCACCAAGCUUGAUAACCUGAGUUCAAUCCCCGGUGCCUACAUGAUAAGAGAAAAUCAAC
rnacentral:lncRNA from 1 species